GGUUUUAGUUAGACUCAUGAGGUAUAAAUGGAUCAAGUAAUAUAGAUCAAAUGAAAUGUGAAUUCGAGGUUUCAAGUGCUUUGAUGAAUGUUGAAGUGGUUUGGUGAGAAUUGAAGUUUAUUCAUGUUGGAGUUCUUGGUUAAAUCGUUGUAUGACAUAUGAUAUCUACGAGAUAGUUGUUGUUAGAUAUGAUCUUGAAUGUAUAGUAGCCCUAAUUUGAUUUUUUCUUCUUCACUGUAUACGAUCAGCCUGAAGUCAAGUUUGUAGAUGAAUAUAAUUGGGACAAGAUAGAAAAUUAAGUAGCCAUUCUUGCAGGUUCAUUGUUAAAAGUGUAUAUGGACACAUAUGAAGGAUAUUGUGACUACCAAUUUAAAUGUUCUGUGAAUGUUUCACAAUGCUUUUAAGUGCUUAUGAUAUCUACGAGAUAGUUGUUGUUAGAUAUGAUCUUGAAUGUAUAGUAGCCCUAAUUUGAUUUUUUCUUCUUCACUGUAUACGAUCAGCCUGAAGUCAAGUUUGUAGAUGAAUAUAAUUGGGACAAGAUAGAAAAUUAAGUAGCCAUUCUUGCAGGUUCAUUGUUAAAAGUGUAUAUGGACACAUAUGAAGGAUAUUGUGACUACCAAUUUAAAUGUUCUGUGAAUGUUUCACAAUGCUUUUAAGUGCUUGUAAGCUGGUGAAACAUCAUUUUUCGAUCACAUAUUUUUUAGAACUUUUAUCUACUUUUAAACACAGCUUUUAAUUGUAUGCAAAUAUUUACUACCUCAUUCGCCUUAGUUCAUGUAUUCAGAUUUAUAUUGUCCAAACUUUUGUUGUAAUGGUUUUUUUUCCCCUUUC
rnacentral:lncRNA from 1 species